rnacentral:sRNA from 1 species
GCGGAGGAAAAGAAACCAACAGGGAUUGCUCUAGUAACGGCGAGUGAAGCAGCAAUAGCUCAAAUUUGAAAUCUGGCGUCUUCGGCGUCCGAGUUGUAAUUUGUAGAGGAUGCUUCUGAGUAACCACCGACCUAAGUUCCUUGGAACAGGACGUCAUAGAGGGUGAGAAUCCCGUAUGCGGUCGGAAAGGUGCUCUAUACGUAGCUCCUUCGACGAGUCGAGUUGUUUGGGAAUGCAGCUCUAAAUGGGAGGUAAAUUUCUUCUAAAGCUAAAUAUUGGCCAGAGACCGAUAGCGCACAAGUAGAGUGAUCGAAAGAUGAAAAGCACUUUGGAAAGAGAGUUAAAAAGCACGUGAAAUUGUUAAAAGGGAAGGGAUUGCAACCAGACUUGCUCGCGGUGUUCCGCCGGUCUUCUGACCGGUCUACUCGCCGCGUUGCAGGCCAGCAUCGUCUGGUGCCGCUGGAUAAGACUUGAGGAAUGUAGCUCCCUCGGGAGUGUUAUAGCCUCUUGUGAUGCAGCGAGCGCCGGGCGAGGUCCGCGCUUCGGCUAGGAUGCUGGCGUAAUGGUCGUAAUCCGCCCGUCUUGAAACACGGACCAAGGAGUCUAACAUCUAUGCGAGUGUUCGGGUGUCAAACCCCUACGCGUAAUGAAAGUGAACGGAGGUGAGAACCGCAAGGUGCAUCAUCGACCGAUCCUGAUGUCUUCGGAUGGAUUUGAGUAAGAGCAUAGCUGUUGGGACCCGAAAGAUGGUGAACUAUGCCUGAAUAGGGUGAAGCCAGAGGAAACUCUGGUGGAGGCUCGCAGCGGUUCUGACGUGCAAAUCGAUCGUCAAAUUUGGGUAUAGGGGCGAAAGACUAAUCGAACCAUCUAGUAGCUGGUUCCUGCCGAAGUUCCCCUCAG